rnacentral:lncRNA from 1 species
UCAAAUGGUUGAAAGAAACUCAUUACUCCUUCCCUAGAUUCACAGCAGCCUUUACAGUAUUAAAAAAAAAAAAAAGAAGAAAGAAAGAAAGAAAAGAAAGAAACACGUUUUCAAAAUAGAAACUCUGAAGCUGUUCACUUGUGAUGAAGGAGCUGACCACAGUUGCCCUUAUUUUCCUGGAUUCACUUUAUGGCCAAAAGCAUGGGAUGGCGAUUUCCUUCAGUCCUGGAGAUAAAUGAUGCUUUCUGGAGGCAGAGCACUGAGGAUUACUUUUACAGAAAUACAGCACACAAAGUAAAUCCUUGUUAG